rnacentral:tRNA from 1 species
GAGGGUAUAGCUCAAUGGUAGAGUGCAUGCCUAGUGUGCACGAGGUCCUAGGUUCAAUCCCCAGUACCUCCA